rnacentral:rRNA from 1 species
AUACGGAGGGAGCAAGCGUUAUUCGGAAUCACUGGGCGUAAAGGACGCGUAGGCGGGUUUGUAAGUCAGGUGUGAAAUCCUACAGCUCAACUGUAGAACUGCACUUGAAACUACAGACCUAGAGUAUGGAAGGGGCAGAUGGAAUUAGUGGUGUAGGGGUAAAAUCCGUAGAUAUCACUAGGAAUACCGAAAGCGAAGGCGAUCUGCUGGUACAUUACUGACGCUGAGGCGUGAAAGCGUGGGGAGCAAACAGGAUUAGAAACCCCAGUAGUCC